ACUUAGUAUCCUAUAUAAUACCAAAGAGGUCAGACACGAAAACAGAAGAAUAAUUAUAUACAUCUACUGCAUAUAAUAUACAUAUCAUUUGGAAGAGAAAGCAUUCAAAAGUUCACCAUAAUUCAAAGUUCCGGUGCUGGAACUUUGAAGUAUAGAUAGUUGGAUCCUGGGGGACGGAUGCCCGUUGAACUACAAGCAUGGAGUAGGGGCGCAAUUCUGUCUUCAGGACACUGCAAAAUCUGCAGGCCUCUAUCUUUUCGAUCAAGACUAAACAAACCAGGAUUCUAGGACGACCUUGUCUUGCGACAAUGCCAUCAUGGGACCUAAAGAAACACCAUCCUCAUCAGUCACAAAGUAGUUGGACACAGGACCAAUGUUGUAGACCCUCUGAGAAUCAGACCCAUCUUCUUCAUUAGCAACGAUAGAGCAGCUGAGAAUAGAGUAACUGGCUAGGAGCCUUGGAAUACGAUCCAACAUCAUCGGUGCCUCAGAAUUCCUGGUGCCGCUGCCGAUAUGGGCUGCAAUCUCUGACGAAGACAGCUUGGCACCAGGACCGGCUUUCGCUAUGAUGUCGAAAACGCCUAGCUCAAUUGCUGAUUGCAUAGACAUGGACAACACAGAAGAAAACACCAGCUGCAUGGCACAGCUAAUGUUUUCCUCUUCUUCCAGCUGCAGGGCCAUUGGACUGUCUAUAUUUGUAUUGUGAUACUUAAUGCCACCUGUGUUGGAAUAUAUUAGUAUUUUAGGUAUUAUAUUGUUUGGGUUUUCUUAUAAGUUUAGUUUGGGCUUAGCCUGUUAGCAUUAGGGUUAGGGUUAGUUUAUUAUAAAUAACAUGCUUGUUAGUCAGUUAAGAACAAGUUAUUCACAAUGUAGUCUCUUAGGGUUUUGUAGUCGUUCCGGCAUUCUAGUUUGUUUAAUAAUAUUCCUAUUAUUUUGUUA